CAAAUAUUUCAUGUUCCCGAAUUCUCCAUCUAACAUCAGCAACAUAAAGAAUUAGAACAUGGACUCAGCAGCUGCCACAGUGGGAGGACAUGGACCCCUGGCCAUUGUGCACUGGCGGAAAGUCCAGUGGCUCCUCUUCUCUAGGAGAGUAUUAUAGGAUAUGUUAUCCAUAAUUGCGGGAAGGGGCCAAAGUUCAUAUCAAAUAUUCUGAUUCGUACCAGAAAAACCACACUGGUCCCUGAGGGAUAAGAUUUACUCUGAACUACAUAUUAACUGUAGUGAAGAAUCUGUGCUCAUAGUAGCUUCUGUUUUAAAGUAUUCUACUGAAGAUGCCAUGUACAAAUUACAUCCUGCUAAAACAGCUCAUCUCUGUGCUAUUAAAAUGAAAACCUCUAUGAGGAAUCACUUAGACACCUACACCUUAUCUGUCCGCGUAGCCCCUCAUGUGCUCUGGGAUCCAACUUUCUGAACUCAUGAUUUGGGAGUGACCUCCCAAAAUAGGUAAGGGGAUAUGAUUAUUCCCUUUGGGAACAAAGUCUUCAUUGUGAUCCAGGAAUUGGGAAUGUCUCCGAAA